rnacentral:rRNA from 1 species
GAUUCAGAGGUGGGGUUGUGGGUCGGGUGUGGCCCGGCAGCUUGUCUCCGUGUGCCGCUCCCAAUCAACCCGCGUUUGCCCCAGCCUCCUAUCGCACGGAAACGGAGUCCUGCUGGGGUCUCCUUAACUGGGGGUUCCAGCGCUUCCGCGCACAACGUGCGCUUACGGACCGUCCGUGGACGUUACUGUGAACAAAACAGCGUGUUCAAAGCAAGUGGCUUGCCUGCCCUGCAUGUUAAAGCAUGGAAUAACAAGGCAUCGACCACUCGGCGGUGCUUUUGUUGGUAUUUCCCUCCCGGUGGGAAUGCGCAGGCGUGCACACUGCCGGCCUUCUGGCCGGUCUGGGUGCCGUCUCUUCGAGAUCAAUAGGGGCAAACGGGGAGAUACCUAUUGUGGGGAGAGCGGUGAAAUGCGAUGACCCCCAUAAGAGGAACUUCAGCGAAAGCAGUUCUCAAGACUGCCUUCGUUAAUCAAGAACGAGACUGUGGGGAUCAAAGAUGAUCUGAUACCGUCGUAGUCCACUAGCGUAAACGAUGCCGACUCAUCAUUGGGGGG